rnacentral:rRNA from 1 species
AUACGAAGGGGGCUAGCGUUGUUCGGAAUCACUGGGCGUAAAGCGCGCGUAGGUGGAUCAAUUAGUUGAGGGUGAAAUCCCGGGGCUCAACCUCGGAACUGCCUUCAAUACUGUUGAUCUUGAGACCGAGAGAGGUGAGUGGAAUUCCUGGUGUAGAGGUGAAAUUCGUAGAUAUUAGGAAGAACACCAGUGGCGAAGGCGGCUCACUGGCUCGGUACUGACGCUGAGGUGCGAAAGCGUGGGGAGCAAACAGGAUUAGAAACCCUAGUAGUCC